AUACGUUUGAGGUCCAAUACCCUUUUCAGUAAGAUGUCGGGGCUCUGCCCUUACAUAACCUGUCAGGAAAAAAAACGAAAAUGGAUAAGCCCGUGUAUAGCUGUUGCAGAAACCCCAUAGAUGCAGGAGGGCUUGCGGCGUUAACGUAGACGCCAUUUUAGUUUUACGGGGGAGGGAAAGAACAGAAUCGAACGAACGCCGGGGAAUUGUAGCUUGCUAGAUAUUUUUCUUUUUUUAUAUCCACAAUCCUGAAACGAGACACAAUCAGCACCGUGCACCUUACUGAAACGACGCAAGAUGUCUGAAGACAUGGCAUCUGAUCAUGUUAAUGGGAAUGGUACAGAAGAACCGAUGGAUACGACUACAGCAGUCACCCGCUCUGAACACUUCCAGACUUUAAUAGAUGCAGGUUUACCACAACAAGUUGCUGAAAAACUAGAUGACAUUUACAUAGAAGGACUGGUAGCGCACAGUGACCUAGAUGAAAGAGCAAUUGAAGCGUUGAAAGAAUUUAAUGAAGAAGGAGCCCUGCAAGUCCUGCUGCAGUUUAGGGAAAGUGAUCUGUCACAUGUUCAGAACAAAAGUGCCUUUCUCUGUGGAGUUAUGAAGACUUACAGACAGAGGGAAAAGCAAGGGACAAAAGUCUCAGACGCCACAAAAGGACCAGAUGAAGCUAAAAUCAAAGCUCUGCUUGAUAGAACCAGCUACACACUUGACGUAACAACAGGUCAGAGGAAAUACGGUGACCCACCACCAGAGUCGGUGUAUUCAGGGGCGCAGCCCACUGUUGGAACAGAGAUAUUUGUAGGGAAGAUUCCACGAGACCUGUUUGAGGACGAGCUGGUCCCACUCUUUGAGAAGGCAGGGCCUAUCUGGGAUCUGAGGCUGAUGAUGGACCCCCUCAGCGGCCUCAACAGAGGCUACGCUUUCGUCACUUUCUGCACUAAAGAGGCUGCACAGGAGGCGGUGAAACUUUGUAAUAAUAACGAAAUUCGACCUGGAAAGCACAUUGGAGUGUGUAUUUCAGUAGCCAAUAACAGGCUAUUUGUCGGCUCCAUCCCGAAAAGUAAGACGAAAGAGCAGAUUGUGGAGGAAUUUGCUAAAGUUACAGAGGGACUUAAUGAUGUCAUACUGUACCAUCAACCCGAUGACAAAAAGAAGAACCGAGGUUUUUGCUUUCUGGAAUACGAAGACCAUAAAACUGCUGCCCAGGCCCGCCGUAGGCUCAUGAGCGGCAAAGUGAAGGUGUGGGGGAAUGUGGUCACUGUGGAAUGGGCUGACCCCAUAGAGGACCCAGACCCAGACGUCAUGGCCAAGGUCAAAGUUUUGUUUGUCCGCAACCUCGCGAACAGUGUUACUGAAGAAAUACUUGAACAAACCUUCAGCCAGUUUGGGAAGCUGGAGCGAGUGAAGAAACUUAAAGAUUAUGCCUUUAUUCACUUUGAGGAAAGGGAUGGUGCAGUCAAGGCAUUAGAUGAAAUGAAUGGCAAAGAUCUGGAGGGAGAACACAUAGAAAUUGUGUUUGCCAAGCCCCCUGAUCAGAAGAGGAAAGAACGCAAAGCCCAGAGACAAGCAGCCAAAGCACCAACAUAUGAUGAUUACUAUUACUAUGGUCCUCCUCACAUGCCCCCUCCCUCCAGGGGGCGUGGUAGAGGUGGUGGGAGGGGCGGGUACUCUUACCCCCCCGACUACUACGGCUAUGAGGAUUACCAUGAUUACUAUGGGUAUGAUUAUCACAACUACCGCGGUGGAUACGAGGACCCCUACUACAGCUACGACGACUUUCAGGCCCCCAGCAGAGGGAGAGGGGGCAGAGGGUCCCGGGGGGGCUCCCCAGGCCGGGGCCAGGGUGCGGGCGCUCCCCGUGGCAGGGCCAGCUUUUCCCAGCGAGGAGGCGGAGUGGGUCCAGGAGCAGGCAGAGGCGUGCGAGGGGCCAGAGGAGGCGUGCAGCCCAGAGGCCGCGGGGUACGUGGUGCGAGGGGUGGCCGCGGUGGAAAUGUAGGAGGAAAGCGCAAAGCUGAUGGGUACAACCAGCCAGAUACCAAACGACGUCAGACCAAUAAUCAGAACUGGGGCUCUCAACCCAUUGCUCAGCAACCGCUCCAAGGUGGUGAUCAUACUGGUAACUAUGGUUACAAAUCUGACAACCAGGAGUUUUAUCAGGAUUCUUUUGGGCAACAGUGGAAGUAGAACAGUAAGGCUUUCAUAACAAAUCCUUUUUUAAAGACUCGAUCUGAUUGGCCCCAAAAUCCAUACCAUUGCUACUUUUUCAAAUUGGUGACAUCUGGCAAGUUGCUCUUGUAUAUAUUUUAAUAAUCCGCUUGGACUUGAACAGUAGUCACACUCCCAACUGCUUCUGGCGAACUGGUUUAAUGUUUUCAAGUUGAUUGAUGCGAUUCCCAUAAUCAGUUUGAAAUUUUAGAUUUGCAAUCAUGUGCUCCACGUGUCUAUUUGGCUAUAGUUUUAUGUAUGUUCUUAUGGUCUCCAUGUCUUAAGUAGCUAACAGCAAAACAAAGCUUAUGUCUCCUAAACAUGUAUUUAAAACAAAAUGAAACUACAAUUUGUAUGUCACAAGGAUUAUGCUAGGUUAUGGCGUUGUUUUUGGAAGAAGAAAAAGGAUCAUAGUCCUAUUUUUGGCUAAACAUUUUGGCUUGUAUUUUUUGCUGUUUGUCUGCUUUAAUAAACAUACACACACACGUGUACAAAACCUCAAAUUGUGUUGCCAAUUCCUGUUUCGGCAAAUUCUCUCUUCAAAUUCCCUUCAAAUUUAAGGCUCUUUGUGGAAGAAAUGGACCAAAGGUUUGCCUGUGGUAGCCACAUGGUGCAAUGUCACUUUGCAUGCCAUUAAAUUCUAAACCACCUGAGUUUUAACAGGCAUCUUUCCACAAAUUAAGUGUUGUGUAUGUGUAGUGACAUACUCUAUUGUUCUGGUUAUUUCUAAAUUAUAUUAUGUCCAAAUACUUGCAUAUUGUUUAUAUAAAUAUAUACUCGGGGAAAACGUGGUUAUGGUGACUGUCAAGACAGAUUCCAACCCAUCUAUAACCAAACAACUUGUUGUGGCUACCGAGAAAGCACAAUUUGAUAAGUAAAGCUAUUGCCCCAGAAAGAUCUUCCUUUGAGGCCUCAAUACUCAUCUUGCACAUGUAUUUCAAAUUCACAAGAUUAAUCAAUUAUGGGAAAUGUUUGGCAUUUGUGUUAACCGCUUGUUUUGCUUGUAGACCAGCCAUUCCCCUGCCAUAACCCCUUAUUUGUGUUCACCCAUACAUCUUCAUUGUUGUACCUUGUACCUUUUUAAAGACAUGCAGGGAAAAGGGGUCGAAGAUGGUCCUGAUCUGUCCCUAUGAAGACUGGCCUGCUAUAUGGGGUUUCACUGCAAGCUGCCAAUGGAUGCGAUGGUAAGGUCAACCCAAUGAUCUAACUGUAUCACCAGCCUUACAAAAGCAUAUUUCCCAAACUGCCACAUAAAGAUAAUCAAGUAAGAAAAAUAAAGUUGGUUGGUUGAACAUAUGUUUUUAUAAGCUUGCCACCUCCCCAAAGAUAACGCCAUUUUGAGACAAUGGAAUAAUGUGAAAAAGGAUAAAGGUGAACCCACCCUGAAAGUAAAUGUAAAUGUAUUUUGCACUUUGUCUAAGUUUGGAGUGGCUCCAAGGAGCUUGAUGCUAAUGUAUGUUUUUGUUCUAACUGCAGUGUUAGCAUUGUGGUCAUGACUUGGUUUAAACAUUGUUUAUGACUGGUUUAACCACCUGUCAUAGAGGGUCAGGCAUUCCUGGAAGCGGUUGGUUAUCUACCUCAGUACAGAGGAUUCAACUGCUCUGUCUGUAUUGUACAUAAAUAAGGAAACUGAUGAUAGCAGGGCUUUCAAACAAAUAUGCACAAGAGAAACGGCAGCCUUCUCAAAGCUUAUUUUAGUUGUGCCUGCCGUUUGUCUGGCACAGCAACAGGCAAACUGGGCAUGUUAACUUCUCUCAAAAUGAGCACGAACAAGCCUUUUUGUACAUUUACAUUUAGCAGACGCUCUUAUCCAGAGCGACUUACAGUAAGUACAGGGACAUUCCCCCCGAGGCAAGUAGGGUGAAGUGCCUUGCUCAUUUUGACUCGGCCGGGAAUCGAACUGGCAAACUUCAGAUUACUAGCCCGACUCACUCACCGCUCAGCCACCUGACUCCAUUUAAAUCAGGACUUUGUAGUCCUGAUUUAAAUGAGUUAUCUACAUGUCUUUAGAUUAUGUAGUGGUUGAAUGAUAAGUUUAGGAACAUGUUACUUUUGUAAAUGCUUGAACACCAGGAAACACCAGUUUUUUUUUUUUUUACAUUUCAUUUAGAAGCUUUGCAGUGUGAACACUUUCCUUAACGGGGGGAUGAGGUGUAAACUUUGUAUGUGGUAGAAUCCCCCUUGGACUGAUUGCAUACACAAAAAAACUUUGAAAGCCAUCUGCCAAUUGUGUACAACUGAAAGAACAUUUGCCUAAUCAUGCACAACAUGAAGGAUCAAUGACAUCCAAGCUGCCUUUUUGUCACAUUUGACAUAUGUGACAAGUGUCUUGAAUCUGCAUCAUGUUGAGUAUGUGAUUACUAGCUGGAGAUGACUGGGAUUGUCCAGUACAAAAGGGAUUCUUGUAUCUUCCUCUGGAUUGUGGAAGUACAGUAGACUGAAAAAGUCAAUCAGGUUUUGUACACAGCAGACUCCCUCUAAGUCUAUAUCACCACAGACUACUUUGAAAAGAUGUUACCAGUUAUGAAAAACUGUUGGUAUGCUAACAAGUGUUUUUGCAUACUUGCAAAUUGUUUUAUACUGUAUAGUGAGGCGAGUGUAACUUAUUUUUUUAAUAAAGUUCUUGACUUUCA